ACUUUUCACGGCGCAUCUUUUUGGUCUUGACACCCGAUCGCUCAAAUCGGACUCCUUCAGGCCCAAAAUGACAUAUAUAGGUUCUGAAAGGUCCGAAAACGGUAUUUUGCCCAUAACUCCUCCAAAAGUUAAUAUUUUCCAACUUCUGAUAGCAUUUUUGGAUUCCCCGUGAAAUUUUACAUCUAGAUGCAUGACGAUCUCGCAUCCACGAGCAACUUGGUUUGGCGAACUAGACAUCGGCCAACAAAGUGGCGACUCGAUAAUACGACGUAACUAGUCGACCAUCCAGAAAGUGACUCCGCGAAGGCUUGAAACAUGAAAAGAUGCGCCUUAAAAAGUUAUGCAGCCUGUGCAGUCGUGGCGCGCUCAAAGCUUUCUGGUUGCCGAGAUACGAGCAUUUCCGUUUUGGGCCAUUUAGGGCCAACCGCUCGACAAACCUUCGAUAUCUGAUGAACGAUAAGGUUUCAGAGUCCGGGAACUAGUCAGUUGACUUCCCCUCGUCAAUACAAGAAUCGAGUGAAAAAAAAAUUUUCCGUCGAGGAGUAUCGAAUUUCACCAAGUGCCCGCCCAUACUGAAGCCAAGUCUAAUCUGCGGGCGAGAAUUCUUGGUGAAUUUUUCCAUCACUGUUUUACCUCGUACUUUGUGCCUGUAGCGUGUUUUGUAGUGUUUCUACCAUUUGGGAACGUGUAGCUUUGUGCCUACCUUUAUGGAGACCAAAGUGAAAAUUCAAGUUGGUCAACUAAAUGAAAAGACGAUCCUGAUAGGCGUAAAAAAAUUUUUUUUUUUGCGUCUAUAAUUUCUUAGUCCUAGUAGGUGCUUGUGGCUCUGCCGCCGGCGCUGGACGGGUUAAGGAAUAAAAAUAUGCCUGGGUUUCGGUAAUCCAGGUAGAAAAGGGAACGAUUUGUGAUGUACUUUUACGCUUCGGUGUGACUGUUUAAUUCAUGAUGAAUUCGUGCUGCUCUGGUGUUUCUUGCGCGGUAUCUCGGUACUGUUGCGGCUAUAUUCAUCAGCACAAGGAAGGUUGGCAUUGUAAACUGCCCGGGAGUUGCGCUAGCUUGCUGGUGUAAUUUCUCGGGUGAGUUUCGCAUUGCUAGCCUGGCAAAACAAUUUCAGUAAAACGAAUUUGUUGGCAUCUCGGUUAGGCUGCAGUUGAAAGGCUGUAGCUCGAACCUUGAUGCGAAUUGGAAAUCAUUCUCGGGAAAAUCAAAGCGGCUCCUCUCGGGGAGCUGCGGCGAAAUUCUUUUCGUGCAAUGAACUAGAACAGUAGAAGGACGGGUUGGGGCUUCCAUUACCUCUUGGGAUUCCUCGCUGCGGAAAGGUUUGAAUUGCUGCAAAUCGAA